AGAGUUUGAUCCUGGCUCAGAACGAACGCUGGCGGCAGGCCUAACACAUGCAAGUCGAGCGCGCGUUCGGGUGAGCGGCGGACGGGUUAGUAACGCGUGGGAACGUGCCCUUUCUCUACGGAAUAGCCUCUGGAAACGGAGAGUAAUACCGUAUACGCCCUUUGGGGGAAAGAUUUAUCGGAGAAGGAUCGGCCCGCGUUAGAUUAGGUAGUUGGUGGGGUAACGGCCUACCAAGCCUACGAUCUAUAGCUGGUUUUAGAGGAUGAUCAGCAACACUGGGACUGAGACACGGCCCAGACUCCUACGGGAGGCAGCAGUGGGGAAUCUUAGACAAUGGGGGCAACCCUGAUCUAGCCAUGCCGCGUGAGUGAUGAAGGCCUUAGGGUCGUAAAGCUCUUUCGCCUGUGAUGAUAAUGACAGUAGCAGGUAAAGAAACCCCGGCUAACUCCGUGCCAGCAGCCGCGGUAAUACGGAGGGGGUUAGCGUUGUUCGGAAUUACUGGGCGUAAAGCGCGCGUAGGCGGAUUAGAAAGUUGGGGGUGAAAUCCCGGGGCUCAACCCCGGAACUGCCUCCAAAACUGCUAGUCUAGAGUUCGAGAGAGGUGAGUGGAAUUCCGAGUGUAGAGGUGAAAUUCGUAGAUAUUCGGAGGAACACCAGUGGCGAAGGCGGCUCACUGGCUCGAUACUGACGCUGAGGUGCGAAAGUGUGGGGAGCAAACAGGAUUAGAUACCCUGGUAGUCCACACCGUAAACGAUGAAUGCCAGUCGUCGGGUAGUAUACUAUUCGGUGACACACCUAACGGAUUAAGCAUUCCGCCUGGGGAGUACGGUCGCAAGAUUAAAACUCAAAGGAAUUGACGG
rnacentral:rRNA from 1 species